UUAGAAAAUAGAUGAUAAGCACUCUCUUCUCUCUCUCUCUCUCUCUCUCUCUCUCUCUCUCUCUCUCUCUCUCUCACUCACUCUGUUUCUACCUCUCCCCCUCUCAUGGGUGGUUGUGUCCGUGUCUGUGAGUGUGUGUGUGUGUGCAUGUGUGUGUGUUUCUGUGUCUGUGUGUGUGUGUGUAUGUGUGUGUGUGUGUGUGUGUAUGUGUGUGUGAGAAACUGAAGGUGAGCUCAGGGUCUGCAUGACCCAGUUGGAACUAGAAUCCCAUGUUGAUUGACUCCCACCUUGACAAGUAUCAUGUUGUUGGGAUGACCAGCAUGUGACUAUUGGGACAAGAUAGAAGUAUUUACAAAGCCAACAGUUUUGACCAAUUUAUGCGAAUUAGGGCAGAUUUGAGAGUACACUUAAGAGUUUUAAACUUUGUUUGAAAAAACAAAAAACAGUGUUCUUGGAAUAGUUUCUUUGGAGUAGAGCGCAUAAGGCCAAAUUUUAACUGAUUGUUGGUGAGCACCUGUGGGUUUUUGUGUUCCUUAUGUAGUAUCCCUUAGGUUUGGGUCAGACAAUGUAAACCUUAUCAUUUCCACUGUUGUUAACAUCUCAAAUGAUGUCCCACGUCCUAGGUGCCAAUCCACAAAUGCCCACUCCUACAUCUUCUCCCUCCUCCCUCCAUUUUGCCACUAUGAUGCUGCUCCUAAACUCACCCAACUUUUCGAAACCCACCACUCCAGCCUCCUCCUAUGUUCGAGCAUCACAUCUCCACAGGACCAAGGGCCUUCCAUUCCAUUGGUUUCAAAUAAUGUCAUCCUCUGAUGUAUAUUGAUUGGUGGUCUAUUUUCUGGAAGCUCUGGGUCAUCAGCCAGCAUAUAUUGUUCUUCCUCUAUUGCAGGACCUCCUCUGUCACAGGACAUCCACUGUUUAAGCACCACCACUACCUCAGGAAGUCCACUGUCUGUGUGUCAACUCCACUGUUACAGGACCACAAGUGUCUCAGCACUUCAACUAUCACAGCACUUCUACUGUUCAGGAGCUCAAGAGUCUCAGCAUCUCAAGUGUCACAGGACCUCCUUUGCCCAAGAACUGGACUGUCCAAGCAAUACUGCUAUUGCGGGACCUCCACUGUCACAGGAUUUCCACUGUAGGAGCACUACAACUGUCUCAGGACACCCACUGUCCUAUAACCUCCACUAUCCCAGGAAUUCCACUGUCAUAGCACCACCCGUAGCAACUAAAGUGUUUCAGGACAUCAACUGAAGCAAGAUCUCCCAUGAUUCUGCAACUUCACUGCCCCAGGAUCUCUACAGUGACAGGAAUACCCCUGUAUCAGCAAUUCCAAUUUUGCAGGACCUCCACUGUAGCAGAACCUCAAUUGUGCAGCAGCUCCCCUGUAUGUAGAUUGACCUCCACGAUCUCAGUGCCUCCACUUUCAAAGGACCUUCACUGUCACAGAACCGGCGCUAUUUCAGUGCCUCCACUGUCGCAGGACCUACCUCUUCACAGGAUCUGCACUGUUGCAGCAACUGUAAUUUCAAUUUUUCAAAGUCAUUGCUGGUUAUUAGAUUUCAGGCUGAAUGAAAUGAGAUGUUACUUUUGAAAGCUUAAGAAUUUGUUCUAUACCUCUUGUGAUAAAUGCCGUGUGUGCUAGGACCAGUAAAGUAUGGAAGACUUCUUCAGCUCAUACCACUCUCCACCUCACUUUGUGGAAGCUGGUGUUUUUAGAGUGUGAUAAACUUCAGGUGAAUGGAUGCAUUCAGCUGCACCACGCUCUAGAGUGGGCUACACAGCAGUCAUAUUGAGUCCUUGCUGGGAAGAGAAGAAAUCCAGAAGAGGGAGAAGGCUUGGGUUGGGGGAAGAAUCAUAAAAUACUUAGAGGAUAUUAGAAGGUAAGAAUUAUGGGGAACUGGAAAACAGAGCCAAAGGAAGAAUGAGCACAGAGCAAACUGGGAAGGACAAAGUACAAAGGCACUUGGGUUUUGCCAUCUGCGUGUUCUCUGGACAAUCUCCCUGGGCCACAUUUCUGGGAGAAAACUCUUCCCCCACCCCCUUGUAAGGUUUCAUUCUUGAAGGAAAGCAGCAACACAACUUCAUCAGUGAAUUUCCCCAUUGGAAUUGGUUCAUCCUUUAAUGCCUCUGGGAAAUCCCGAGCUGGGGAAUGUCCUGCUCUCUGCUGAGAGACAGCAGGAAAGUAGGUCGUCCUCUGUUUUCUCGUUGCUACAGCUCUUCUAAGUAUGGCUGAUUGUUGAGUGAAGACACAGGAUACUUCUGGUGUGUAUGUAUGCUUUGUUCACUGUGGGUGUUGUUGGGAGUGUCCUGAAAAGAAGGGCAUGCCCAAUGGCACUUCUGCUUCCUCUUUGACUAGCCUUAUGAUCAUAGGGAGACACUAGGCCAUUGGAAGAUGAGGAGAGCAAUGUGUCUAAGUUGUGUUCACUUCUAUUCCUAUUUAGUCCUAGAGGGAAAUCAGCAAGGGUGUGAGGAAUGCUGCUGUGCACUGACUGUGUGGUGUGAGAAAUGCUGCUGUGCACUGACUGUGUGGUGUGAGGAAUGCUGCUGUGCACUGACUGUGUGCUGUGAGGAAUGCUGCUGUGCACUGACAGUGUGCUGUGAGGAAUGCUGCUGUGCAUUGACGCUGCCUUUUUUCUUUUCUCCCUACACCUGCAUCCUUCUGGUGGCUCAUGUUGGACAACUAGGUGCCCAUGACCAACUCCUCAUUGUGGAUGGAUUUAGUCUGGUUGGACUUUCUCAGGAAAGGUAUGACUAAUUGGUUACUUUAAAGCUGAUUGGUUAGUCUUACUGUAUUGAAGUGAUAUUUUGCUUUUUAUUUUGAAAUUUGAAUGCAAAAAGAAGUGCUGUAAAAGCUCUUUGUGUUUACUCAUCCCCUGUAUGCAGGAGACAGGUCUCUUAGGGCAGGUGAAAUGUUGCCUGUACGUUCUUUAAUUUGCAUGAGUUGGCUGCAAGGAGUUGUUAAUGUAAGGCGCACAACACAUCAUUCAUCUAAAAUGUGAGCCUCCUGAUCCAAUGUAAAUGUUUGAGAUUGAAUAUCUAAUUCAUAAUUUAAUUUCCAAAAUUCUAGAGAAAGGUUUCAGAUUUGAUGCUAGGGAUUUUAUUUUUAUCAAUUCAAAUCACUAGAAUACUAAUCAUUAGUGGAAAGCAAAGGUGACAGUUCUAUUAGAGUUAACUAAUACUUCAGUGGUUCCAAAGGCUGUAGAGCUCUCACAGCAUUACACAGCAUUCUUGCAAGCAGGAGCAAAGACGUCCGAGAUAAAUGGGAGCUCAUGGGUGGCUGUCAAACACAGCUAUCUCAGAAGUUGUAAAUUUAGUAAAGAGAUUUAUAAACUCUGUAAGGAAAGGAAGAAGCGUGUUGCUGUGCCCCCUGUGACUUAAGUGCUAUAAGAACACUUGUGUCAGUUGAGUCUGCAUCUCUUUCUCAGCGUAACAGAUUUAUUUAAUUUUAAUUCCUGAAUUUUGCAUCCUCACUCCUCAGUUGAGCUAUGGGAGAAAGGCCUGUUUGCUUAUUUUGUGUGAAAGGUGACUUUAUGAUUUCAACACAUUUUCUUUUUCAGAAUCUCUAAUAUGGUUUCAGAAGAACUUUCUGUUCCAUAGAAAUCUGUGCAUCAGGGAAAUAAUCACAAUUUUAAAUAAAACGGAAGCAUUUGAAACCCAAAAAUUCUUUUUAAUAAGAGCUGUACGAUCAAUUGUUGAAAUACAACCAUUAGUAUUUUUUACGUUUAUCAAGUUUCCUACUUGAAAGCAUGUCUUUGUUUUUUCCUCUGUAAGAGAAUAGAAUGUCCCAGAGAGCUGAUGAAGGAUUUGCACACUUGUCUUGCCCAGGAAGUGCAUUCUCCUUGUGUCUGCAGCACAUAGGGAGCCUUUGAUAGCAUAAAAAGAAGCCUUUGAUACCUCCCAAAGAAGAGCAGGUACCUGCUGUCCCUAGUGCAUGGGAAGACAGAUGCACUCAAGAACCUGCAAGCAUCUGAAAACACUGCAUGUGUGUUUGUGAGACCUGUAGUGAAGUAGACUUGGCCAUCCCUGGACAGUGAGGUCAGAUGUGAAUAAGUGUUGCAAGAGCACAUUGAAUAGCAUACACUACUGUUGGGAAAUGUUUUCCUAAGGCCUGGACUCCCCAAACUACACACUGAUAAGCCCAUUGCCUUAAAGGUCUUCUGGUCAUUCACGUUUCAAAUGUAAGUGGCUGCUCAGUACUGAUGGAAGGAAGGUAUGUUUUAUUAUCAUGGCACAGGAUACACUGAUCCGUUCCAGCAGGCUGAAGGGUCAGUGGGAUGUUGUGUCCCCUCACCCUCAUGACUACUGUGCUUUAGCACGGGGAGCAGGACAGUGUCCAAAUCUCAGGGUUUGGGUGAAAUGUAAUGAUGGAGUUGGGAAGUUGCUGGUCAAAGGAUGUAAAGUUCAGAUGAACAGGGAAUGACUUUGAGUACUGUUACCUGUAGCCUAUGACACUCAGCAGUGUCCUAUAAAUAAUGCAAAGGAACUUUAAGAAAGGGGAAGCAUGUUUGAGGGUUUAAAAAGCUUGUGGGGAACUUUUUUGGAAGAACAGAACUUAUAUGUUGGAAUUAGUGUUUGUAUUUCUAUAUUUUAAUUUAUUUUUUUUAAUCUGUAGAGACAUCCCUUAGAAACUAGAUUUGGUGCUGACCCAGGACCAUGUCUUCUUGUGCUCCCUGUCCUGUGUGGGAUUUGUGGCUCAGGCCUACUGUGGCCCCUGGUCUCUGUACCACUUCAUUUUCUGCCAAAUCCUACAUGAGUCUUCCUUUGCCCAUUCCCAGGUAAUAAAGUGAUUUCAGAAACAGUUAUACUCAUGAAUUUAUUAUACAAUUAAGCAGAAUAGGGUGCUUGAUUGACUUGGCAGAAGAAAUUUCAUCUCCUAAAGUGUCAGGUGAUUUUGUUUGUAUAAGAAUUUUUUUCAACCUGUUCACUCACAGCGCUGGGAGGUAAGUGCCAGUCUUGAGAUUGCCUAAACGUUUUAAACAGUAUGUAGAUAGUACUGCCCCUACUCGCCCUGUGAUCCCAGGCAGUCACAUACAGAACAGGAUGGGGGAUCAGGAGACAUCAGCAGACCACAGGUGUGGAUAAAUGUUAAAGUGUGAGAAAUGAACACAGAACCUGCGGGGCCUGAUUGAAGGACCCUAUAAGACAUUGUCUGUGUGGUAGACUCUCCUGAGAUGGUAGAGUGGAAGGGGAAGGGCCUCCUCCAUUACAAGUCUCAGGGGGCAGGAUCGCCAGUGGGCUGGGAAAGUGAUGCCUCUAGGUGAGAUGGGUAUUCAAUGCCACAGUAAAUUGAUUUGUAUUUUACAAGCACUGUAAAUGCGAAGGAUAUUGAAAGGUAGCCUGGAAAACUUCAGUGUAUGGGCAUAGAGCUCAUGCGCGCGCAUGAGUGGCCAAUGAACGAUACCCGGCCCUCCUCUCUCGGACUUAGCCACGCCCUUCAUUAGUUCCUGAGGGGAUUUUUCAGAACAGAGGUUAUGGCAGUUUCACCAUCCAAUUCCAGUGAGUAUGAGGGGAGCCCAUGGAGUUUGAAACCACUCCUUUCUGCUCUCAGGGAUGUGGGGAAAAUAAGAGAAUUUGGGUUGGCUUAGUAGCACUAUUUUGUGAGUCUUAGCUUGAGUUCCCUCGGGAUGGAGACCAACUGCUUCUUUUCCGAAUCUUAGGGAAGUUGACCCGUUUUCUCCCAACUGUCCUUAUGGCUCCUUCCUCCAUCUCCCGCUUGGGGCUUCUCUGGACUCUCAUUUGCUGCAUCAGCACAUGAAGGUUCCCUGACUUGGCACCUCCUUAUGCUGAACAUCAGCAGACUCCAUACUGAGCAGGAUUUGGGAGUACAGCUGUUAAUACCAAUAAUUAUGUAACUGUACUCGUUGCCCUCUUAGAGCACACCGCAGAAAAAUAGAUUGAUAAAAGUGAACAAAAAUAUAAACAUCAUGUGUGGUAAUGGCUCCCAAGCAGAGAAUCUGAACCUUACAGCAGCCCCACCUAAGAUUUAUGAACAGGAAACCGGGAAGGGGAAUGACAUUUGAAGUGUAAGUAAAGAAAUGUAUCUAAUAAAAAAUUAAAAAACAAAAACAGACAAAUAAACAAAGAAGUCUAUGUUGUGAACAUAAUCAGAAAGAUGAUCUGAUCUGCCUCUUUUGUUUGUGUGUGUGUGUGUGUGUUUUACCUUGACUUCCGUAGUCAAUGGAGUUCAGAUAACUGUAGGAAUGCAUUUUAUGGUUUAGAGGCACUGAUAGGAUCAUUCCUUUACUUAUGCUCCCCCUACUAGUUUUCUUACACAUAUCUCAUCAAGAUUUAAGCUGUUAUGCAUCCAUAAAUCUUAAUGCUUACUAAAUCAUUUUAACUUUCCUAUUCUUUUCAUCUUCUUUAAUAUUCCUGGUACCUAAAUAAUACAAUCCUGUAAAAGGUGAUUCAAAUUUAGCUGGUAGACUGAUACGCCUCUUAAAACACAUGACUUAGGAAACAAGCUAACCUACAUUAUGGCUGAUUGGUGCAUGGGAAAACAGAUUAAUUCUAAAUUAAAUAUAUUAGACUAUUUAAAAUAGUCCUGCUUUAAUAUUUGUAAUCAUAUCAAACUUUAAAUAUAGGAUUAUAAAGCCUGUGAUUUGACUGUACUAUACUGCAUUCUCCAUAUAGAUUUCUACAUAAAUUACUGAAAAUUUCUUGGCAAAAACUUAUUAUGUGAGCACCUUUAAAACUAAUACCACUGGGGCUUUUCCAUUUAAUGGGGAUAUGAACCGUAUGUUUAAAUACAGGUAAAAGUAGAUUUACACUUAGCAGCCAACUAAGUAACCUGGAUGUAGUCACUUAUAUUCAAUUGAGUAGUUGCUUGUAGAAGGGAGCACAAACUGCAGAUCAGGUAUUUCAAGGAGCUCUCUUGGUAUAAACUUAGCCCUAGCUAAUUUGGCCAUAGGGAAUUCAUGGUCCUUCUGAUACUUGAUCAGUCCAAGCCAAACUUCCUACACAAAAGGUCAGGAUGCAGUUCCUCCUGUCUCUAUGUCUUUUUUUUUUUAUUAACUUGAGUAUUUCUUAUUUACAUUUCGAUUGUUAUUCCCUUUCCCGGUUUCCAAGCCAACAUCCCCCCAAGCCCUCCCACUCCCCUUAUCUAUGGGUGUUCCCCUCCCCAUCCUCCACCAUUACCACCCUCCCCACAACAAUCACAUUCACUGGGGGGUUUAGUCUUGGCAGGACCAAGGGCUUCCCUUUCCACUGGUGCUCUUACUAGGCUAUUCAUUGCUACCUAUUAGGUUGGAGCCCAGGGUCAGUCCAUGUAUAGUCUUUGGGAAGUGGCUUAGUCCCUGGAAGCUCUGGUUGCUUGGCAUUGUUGUUCAUAUGGGGUCUCGAGCCCCUUCGAGCUCUUUUAGUCCUUUCUCUGAUCUUAUCUGCCUCUUAAAAUUCAGUUUUUAGCAGGUGUGCUUCCUGGCCAAAGGAGUCAGAUGAGUGCAUGAGCAGCCCCUUCGAGGACAAGGCUUGGAUUCCCAGGAGCAGACAAGGAACUCUGUGGGCAUACUCCAAGGAAACUGGACCUCCUCUGUCACAGGACUUCCACUGUUUAAGCACCACCACUACCUCAGGAAGUCCACUGUCUGUGUGUCAACUCCACUGUUACAGGACCACAAGUGUCUCAGCACUUCAACUAUCACAGCACUUCUACUGUUCAGGAGCUCAAGAGUCUCAGCAUCUCAAGUGUCACAGGACCUCCUUUGUCCAAGAACUGGACUGUCCAAGCAACACUACUAUUGCAGGACUUCCACUGUAGGAGCACUACAACUGUCUCAGGACACCCACUGUCCUAUAACCUCCACUAUCCCAGGAAUUCCACUGUCGUAGCACCACCCGUAGCAACUAAAGUGUUUCAGGACAUCAACUGAAGCAAGAUCUCCCAUGAUUCUGCAACUUCACUGCCACAGGAUCUCUACAGUGACAGGAAUACCCCUGUAUCAGCAAUUCCAAUUUUGCAGGACCUCCACUGUAGCAGAACCUUCAAUUGUGCAGCAGCUCCCCUGUAGGUAGAUUGACCUCCACGAUCUCAGUGCCUCCACUUUCAAAGGACCUUCACUGUCACAGAACCGGCGCCAUUUCAGUGUCUCCACUGUUGCAGGACCUACCUCUUCACAGGAUCUGCACUGUUGCAGCAACUGUAAUUUCAAUUUUUCAAAGUCAUUGCUGGUUAUUAGAUUUGAGCCUGAAUGAAAUGUGAUGCUACUUUUGAAAGCAUAAGAAUUUGUUCUAUAGCUCUUGUGAUAAAUGCCGUGUGUGCUCGGACCACUAAACUAUGGAAGAUUUCAUGAGCUCAUACCACUCUCCACCUCACUUUGUGGAAGCUGGUGUUUUUAGAGUGUGAUAAACUUCAGGUGAAUGGAUGCAUUCAGCUGCACCACGCUCUAGAGUGGGAUACACAGCAGUCAUAUUGAGUCCUUGCUGGGAAGAGAAGAAAUCCAGAAGAGGGAGAAGGCUUGGGUUGGGGGAAGAAUCAUAAAAUACUUAGAGGAUAUAAGAAGGUAAGAAUUAUGGGGAACAGGAAAACAGAGCCAGAGGAAGAAUGAUCACAGAGCAAACUGGGAAGGACAAAGUACAAAGGCACGUGGGUUUUGCCAUCUGCGUGUUCUCUGGACAUUCUCCCUUGGCCUCAUUUCUGGGAGAAAACUCUUCCUCCACCCCCUUGUAAGGUUUUAUUCUUGAAGGAAAGCAGUCACACAACUUCAUCAGUGAAUUUCCCCAUUGUAAUUGGUUCAUCCUUUAAUGCCUCUGGGAAAUCCCCAGCUGGGGAAUGUCCUGCUCUCUGCUGAGAGACAGCAGGAAAGUAGGUUGUCUUCUGUUUUCUCGUUGCUACAGCUCUUCUAAGUGUGGCUAAUGGUUGAGUGAAGACACAGGACACUUCUGGUGUGUAUGUAUGCUUUGUUCACUGUGGGUGUUGUCGGGAGUGUCCUGAAAAGAAGGGCAUGCCCAAUGGCUCUUUGCUUCCUCUUUGACUAGCCUUAUGAUCAUAGGGAGACACUAGGCCAUUGGAAGAUGAGGAGAACAAUGUGUCUAUGUUGUGUUCACUUCUGUUCCUAUUUAGUCCUAGAGGGAAAUCAGCAAGGGUAGAGAAUGGGACCGUAACUGGACAAAGCUGCUGAGCCUGUGUUGUGAAGCAAUUCCUGUGUAUAACUUGCUGUUACAUUAAGCAAUAGGAUGCCAUGUUCUGGUUAUACCUUUUUGAUGCAAUGAAUCUAUAAUAUUUUACCUCAAACCUCAAUAUAUUACGUUUCUUCCUCUUUUGGAGUAUCUGGCAUGAGAGGGAUCACUUCUUCAUAAGGAUUUGUGAACCUCUUCCAGUUUUCAUUGACCAGGGGUACAUCAUCACCUCUGUGACUGUCAGCCCAUAGUUCGGAUUGACUUUUAUUAAGAGGCUAAGCUGCCUCCUCUGACACCCCACAGUGAGCAGGGUACACACCUGCUACAACCUGUCUUCUGAACUGUUGUAUGACAACAGAGUCAAAUACAACAGUGAAAUAUAAGCCUACUCCUAAGAUCCAUAUGUUGUUGGUUUUUUUUUUUUUUGCACCAUCAUAAAGUUGUCCUAGGAAGAGAUCAGGUGCACCAAUAGGGUAAGCACCAUGCUGCCAGUUCAGCAUUUGCCCAGGUUUGUCUUGAGUUGAAGGCCAAAGUCGAUGCUUUUGACUUUUCUGUUCUUCUCUAACAAAAUAUAAUCUGGUUUAAGGUCGCUGUGAACUUAUACAGUGCCCAUAGCCAUAGAUAAAGCCUGCUAAUAUUUGCCUAAAUAUUUCCUUGGCUCCUUCCUCCUCUCGGUGGAAAGACUUUCAGAUGUAUUUGUAAAGCUUUAAAAUUUCAACCAGUUUCACGAUAAGUUAUUAGAAUUGUCUCAGACUCAAUUGGAGAAGCAAGAUGAUGUUGGGGUGGAUGAAAAACUUCAUUAUAUUUGCCAUGGUCAUGUUUGGCUGGCACCAUUGCUUCUUCUUUGCAUGCACUUUGAUAACCCCUGUAGCAGAACUUCCACUGUCCCAGCA